AAAUUAUUGCAAACAAACUAUGAUGAAAAGGAAAUGGAAAUAAUGAUUUAUUGUGCUGCAGCUUGCAUAUAUAAACCUUCAAUCUCUCGCCCAAAGAUGAAUCAGAUAGUUCGAGCACUUGNNNNNNNNNNNAAGGAAUAUGGAAUGAGAAGAAUGACAGCAUAUUCCUGAAAAAUAACCCGACGCCUAAUGUAUCUGAUAGAGUUGAGCCUAAUGGAUCUGAUAAUGAGCC
rnacentral:misc_RNA from 1 species